GACAGUGUGGCAUAGUGGUUUGAGUGCUGGGCGAUGACUUUGGAGACCAGGGUUCAAUUCCCAGCUCAGCCA